UUUCUAUCCACAAACUCGUUUACUCUCUCCUUAUCUUUUAUUCUCCAUUACAUCUUCAUCUAGAUCUGCGGAGAUAGCUCUGCUUCCAUUAAAACUCUAUUGUCGAUGAUACUCCACCAAGUACAGCUUCAGUUGUAUGGAAGCCCCAUUAUGAGAGAUUUUUCUAAGCGUAAUUAACUUAGAUUUGAUAUUGGUUUGGGUGUAACCAAUAACUUAAAUCUAAAAACUCAGUUCGGGUUUGAUUUUGAUUUGGGUGUAACCAAGAACUUAAACCUAAAAACUCAGAUUCUCUACAGGUAUCAUAGAACACAUUUGUGAUUCUGAGGACUUGGUUGUCUUGAUUCAACUCUUGUGAAUUGAAUUUAGAUUGUGUUGUAAACUGAAUCCAGGUUUUAAUGAAGAAUUGAUCUUCGCUGAAGGAUUAUGAUUGUGUUCCCGAUUUUGUUUUGAAAUGUGGCUGGUGUUGUUGGUGGAUGACCUGCUCUUUUAAGUCAAUUUACAAAGGGAUUGUGGAUUACAAAAACUAUGAUGAGAUGAAGUAUGUUGUAAGUACAGGAUCAAAUGCUUACAUCUCUAAGCCAUUAGCAGAAACGUCAGAUGAAGACCUUAUGUAAGCUUUGAGACUGGUAUUUCGUAACUGGAAUGCGAUGUGUCAUAUAAGAUAAGACAGUUUCCUUUUGCAGUGAAGUCGUAGCGCCGAAUACUCUUGGUUUAUUGAUAUGUUGUAGAUAGAUGGGAUUAUGUAGGCGAUGAAGUUGAUGCUCAAUUAGCCUCGAGGAGAUCAACAUUGAUGGAGCUAGUUCAGAUGGAAUGCCAACUCCAAGGUACUAUAUUUUCAAAGUAUGGAGCUGCAUCCUUUGGUGGCACUACUUAGCUUGUGUUCAUUAUCGCUGAACCGGGGAUGGUUAAAACUGAUCUUCUUGUGUCUGGGGCCAUGAUGAAGCAGGUCGAAUACAGAACUUUCUCCACUUGAUCUUUCUCAGAGGAUCUUAAUCUUGAGACCGACCCAUAUCCUCUAUUGCAGGCUAAGUUUUUCAUUAACAUCCUGGCAGAACCAGCUGAAGUGGUAGGAUUUUAGCACCACCUCUCUAAACAAUAUUGAAGUUAAUAUGUCAAAAUGUGUUCAUAAAUAGGUUUUGUCCUUGAUAUCUUUUUGGUUCAUCUUUCUAGAAUGCAGCGUACAUACCAUAAGAUACCACAGUUGAUACUUAAAUCAUAGACUAGUCAUCCAUUCAAAUUCUGAUACUUGGAUGUUGUGUGCAUUUAUUUCAUUUUGUUGGCUUAGGGAUAACAAAUACACAAGUUUGUCGGAUAGUCUGGUGGUGGACGGCACUAGGCACUUGUCACCUUUAAAUGGCUCAUUUCUCUUAAAAAAUCAUUUAUGACUUGACCUUUAUACAAACUAGCAAACAUAUGUCUCUCUUUCUGUAUGUAUGUGAUCAUCAGUGGAAGUAAUUUUCAUUAUGUUCUUUAUUAGUCUCCUGCAGGUUACGGAAUGUUCUGUUCCCAACAUCAGAUCCAUCCCUACCUACGAAGCCCACUUACAUUCGUUUCCUCACUGGAUUGAAAGCAUACUCCCAGAUAUCUCAGUUGGAUGUUGGAGAUGGCAAAGAAGCAAGUCUCGAAAGGUGCCCAAGGAGCACACUUCAACAUCAGUGCAUCAAAUAUCUUGGACCGGCAAG